GUCUUUUUGAUUAUAAUUUAAAGUCUAACCUGCCCACUGAAUAAUUUGAAGGGCCGCGGUAUUUUGACUGUGCAAAGGUAGCAUAAUCAUUAGUCUUUUAAUUGAAGGCUUGUAUGAAUGGUUGGAUGAGGUAUUAACUGUCUCAAUUUAAUAAAUUAAAGAAUUUUAUUUUUAAGUUAAAAAGCUUAAAUUUUAUUGGAGGACGAGAAGACCCUAUAGAUCUUUAUAAUUAUAUUAAUAAUAAUUUUGUUGUAUAAAUUUAUUAUUAUUAAUUAAAUUAUUUUAUUGGGGUGAUAAAAAAAUUUGAUAAACUUUUUUUUUAAAAAAAAACAAUUAUAUUUGAAUAAUGGAUCCAUUUUUAGUGAUUAUAAGAUUAAGUUACCUUAGGGAUAACAGCGUAAUUUUUUUGGAGAGUUCAUAUCUAUAAAAAAGAUUGCGACCUCGAUGUUGAAUUAAAGGUUAAUUUUAGGUGUAGAAGUUUAAAAUUUUGGUCUGUUCGACCAUUAAAUC
rnacentral:rRNA from 1 species